rnacentral:rRNA from 1 species
GAUGAACGCUGGCGGCGUGCCUAAUACAUGCAAGUCGAGCGAACGGACGAGAAGCUUGCUUCUCUGAUGUUAGCGGCGGACGGGUGAGUAACACGUGGAUACCUACCUAUAAGACUGGGAUAACUUCGGGAAACCGGAGCUAAUACCGGAUAAUAUUUUGAACCGCAUGGUUCAAAAGUGAAAGACGGUCUUGCUGUCACUUAUAGAUGGGUCCGCGCUGCAUUAGCUAGUUGGUAAGGUAACGGCUUACCAAGGCAACGAUGCAUAGCCGACCUGAGAGGGUGAUCGGCCACACUGGAACUGAGACACGGUCCAGACUCCUACGGGAGGCAGCAGUAGGGAAUCUUCCGCAAUGGGCGAAAGCCUGACGGAGCAACGCCGCGUGAGUGAUGAAGGUCUUCGGAUCGUAAAACUCUGUUAUUAGGGAAGAACAUAUGUGUAAGUAACUGUGCACAUCUUGACGGUACCUAAUCAGAAAGCCACGGCUAACUACGUG